UACAGAGGUCUCAAGCGUUGUUCGGAUUCAUUGGGCGUAAAGGGUGCGUAGGCGGCGCGGUAAGUCGGGUGUGAAAUCUCGGAGCUUAACUCCGAAACUGCAUUUGAUACUGGUGUGCUUGAGGACUGGAGAGGAGACUGGAAUUCAUGGUGUAGCAGUGAAAUGCGUAGAGAUCAUGAGGAAGACCAGUGGCGAAGGCGGGUCUCUGGACAGUUCCUGACACUGAGGCACGAAGGCCAGGGGAGCAAACGGG
rnacentral:rRNA from 1 species